GCUGUGGAGAGCGUCAGCAGCGGGCCUCGCACCACUUUGGUGAAUGUAUUGAGGCGUUUUAAAGCCAGCUUCUGUUUAGGAGUGUUUGUUUUUUGUGUGUUGCUGGGCUGGUGAUUCUUGUGAUUGUAUCUUUCGCUACCCUGCCCAUGUUCAAUAUAAGCCAUUAUUAUCACAGGUGCCACAACUUCCCGGAGAGCAGUAUGCUGGUAUGUAUUUGAGUGUGUGUGUGUGUGUGUGUGUGUGUGUGUGUGUGUGUGUGGCUGUGUAGGCUCUCGCCUAAUUUAGGGCUGAAAUUCCCAAGCCAUGCCAAAACCACUGCCCUGUACUUUUUUGAAUGCACACGUCUGUGUAUCUUUACUGGGGAGAUGGGUGUGACGGAUAGACUGAUGUGUUUGGAAUGCUUUGCCACUGUUCUACAAGGGCUGGAUUAGUGAAAGCAAUACAGCAGUCCAGUGGUGUCUGGUCCCCGUUUGAUGACACGUUCAGACUGUGCUCUCCUACCUGUAUGUCCAGUCCACUGAGCAGCCAGUCUGUUGUCCCCGUUUGAUGACACGUUCAGACUGUGCUCUCCUACCUGUAUGUCCAGUCCACUGAGCAGCCAGUCUGGUCCCCGUUUGAUGACAUCACUUGUGUUUCCAGCGUGAGCGCUCCAGCCUUUCAGCAGGGAUUUCAAUCAAAACACAUUUACCUCUGUAGUCACGACAACAGGCCUCCUGCGCUCCGGCUGGCUGUUCAGGCUAUCUCAUGGAUGUCUGUCUGGUUUCCUCCCAAUGCGGCCCAAACAGGCACCAUUAGGACACUGGGGGGGGUUUCUCCAAUGCGGCCCAAACAGGCACCAUUAGGACACUGGGGGGGUUUCUCCAGGGAGUUGUGAGGAAUGAGGAGCCACAGGGAAGAGAGAGUAAAGGAGAGGAGUGUGGGCUCUAGGUGGGUGGAGAGGAGAGGAGAGGAGAGGAGAGGAGAGGAGAGGAGAGUGGGCUCUAGGUGGGUGGAGUGGAGAGGAGAGGAGAGGAGAGGAGAGGAGAG
ensembl:lncRNA